AGGUCAGUAGCUCAAUUAGGUAGAGCAUCGGUCUCCAAAACCGAGGGUUGUGGGUUCAAUUCCCUCCUGACCUG
rnacentral:tRNA from 1 species